AGUUCGGAGAGUUUGAUCUUGGCUCAGGACGAACGCUGACGGUGUGCUUUAGACAUGCAAGUCGAACGAGAAAGCCCUUCGGGGUGAGUAAAGUGGCGAACGGGUGCGUAACACGUGGGUAAUCUA
rnacentral:rRNA from 1 species